rnacentral:rRNA from 1 species
GACGAACGCUGGCGGCGUGCUUAACACAUGCAAGUCGAACGAAGUGGCGAACGGGUGAGUAACGCGUAAUCAACCUGCUCUUCAGCGGGGGACAACAGUUGGAAACGACUGCUAAUACCGAAUACUGAAGGACUGGAUUGCGUCGGAUUAGCUAGCGGGAGGGGAAACGGCCCACCAAGGCGAUGAUCACUAGACGGUCGGAGAGCAUGAACGGCCACAUUGGAACUGAGACACGGCCCAGACUCCUACGGGAGGCAGCAGUGGAGAAUCUUCCGCAAUGGACGAAAGUCUGACGUAGCAACGCCGCGUGAGUGAAGAAGGUUUUCGGAUCGUAAAGCUCUAUUAUAGAAGAAGCGGUAUCUGAACAAAAAGCAACGGCUAACUCCGUGCCAGCAGCCGCGGUAAUAC